CGCCCUCUUUCAUAUUUUUUUCCGUUUCUUUCUCACAUAAUACUCGACUCUAUAAUUUCAUUGAUCAUCAGACAUGAACGUUGGCCAUUUUUUCAGGCGAGUCGACACCCAUGAUUACGUCUGUCGAACGCUUGGCUUUAGUCGCCGGUAUAUUACAACUCCCGAUUUGAUGUAAUCCAAUAUCUGAGCUUGUAAUUUCAGAUGUCUGAGGACGAAAUAGCCUAUGGGUUAAAGUCUCGAUGAAUGUUGUUUGACUGCCCUGUCACGUCAACACCACCCAGCCAAAAUAACCGUGUGAUUCGCGCCGUUGAUAAAAACUUUUUUUUUUUUAAAGGACGAGACAAUCGACAAUACAAACUAACCAACCGGUUUUGAAACAAAAAUCUAAUAUUCAUAGACACAGUAGAACUUAGGCUCAAUUCGGCUAUCACAGCAGGGGAACUAGUUUGGUCCAGUUCGUUGUCGUACGCAAGAUUUGAUGGAUGACCAGCUUCUGGAAUGGAUGGACGGAAACGAGUUUAUGAUUAAAUCAAAAUAUUCCAGAUCGACGAGAUUUAUAGAUCUUCUAGAAUUGAAUUUCGGAUCACAUUAUAGACAAGAAGUAAUUAUACUAUACAUUUAUCUUUCUAUUGAAUUAAAUUUAAUCUUCAAGGCUUAACUCGUAUAAAUUUUGAUGUAGCCAUCCGGUAAGAAGUUGGCAUUAUAAACUGAAAAAAAAAGA